CGACGGCGAUGGCGACGGCGACGGCGACGGGGGAGAUGGAGCGAUGUUGCCACCGCACGAGAUUGUAGCACGAAGUUUGGCCCGGUCGCAAAUGAUUGCGUGCUCUGUGCUUGAAGGCGCUGGGAGGACACUCAAAGGGAGGGGAUCUGAGGCAAGUUCGUAACGCCAUUUUUCGGCGAACAGGAUGGUGUUUGUUGACCACACUGAGGCAACUUUAAUUUCAAGCGAUGCUUGAGUAAUCCAAAUGGACAUCAUCAUGACUAGACGGAAGAUUGUUCACCUAAAACAUAGCACAUCGGCGAUGUCCUCGCCCCAGCUGACAAUUUUGCUUUGCCUUUUUUACCUCCUUUCGGAUAUGUAACUGCUGAUAGAAUUGCGCGUAAAUAUCUCGUAACUAAAGCAUUUUUGAGAAAAGAUCAUUUGGUAACACAGCUAUUUGAAGUUGCUUUUGUGGGUAAA